CAAGGAAUAAUAAGAGGAGCUGGUACUGCAAUACACUUUUGAAUAAUUUGGCAGGUCUCUUUGCUUGGCGAUUACAAUCACAGUAGCAGAUAUUAUCAAGCCAGCUGCAGCAAUAUGGCAAGAUAUUUUAUGAAGGACAGAUUCAGGGAGCAGAAAAGACGUGAUUUAGGUGACAAAGUCACCUAAUUAAGAUUGAACUGACUCAUACCAACAGCUGCAACAGAGAGCUGGUGAGCAGUCCAAAGCAUGAAAGACAGAAGUAGAGAUGAAAUACCGCUGUAAAGAGGACUUCCCCCCAGGAAG